AACGAACGCUGGCGGCAUGCCUAACACAUGCAAGUCGAACGAGACCUUCGGGGCUAGUGGCGCACGGGUGCGUAACGCGUGGGAACCUGCCCUUAGGUUCGGAAUAACUCCCCGAAAGGGGUGCUAAUACCGGAUAAUGUCUUCGGACCAAAGAUUUAUCGCCUUUGGAUGGGCCCGCGUUGGAUUAGCUAGUUGGUAGGGUAAAAGCCUACCAAGGCGACGAUCCAUAGCUGGUCUGAGAGGAUGAUCAGCCACACUGGGACUGAGACACGGCCCAGACUCCUACGGGAGGCAGCAGUGGGGAAUAUUGGACAAUGGGCGAAAGCCUGAUCCAGCAAUGCCGCGUGAGUGAUGAAGGCCUUAGGGUUGUAAAGCUCUUUUACCCGGGAUGAGAAUGACAGUACCGGGAGAAUAAGCUCCGGCUAACUCCGUG
rnacentral:rRNA from 1 species